CUGAAACAGCAUCAAGAUCAUCAUCGUCUGCAUCACUAUUGUGAUCUCCAUUGCCAUGGUGAUUGUUUCUUUGGUUGGUGGAGGAGUACCCUUCUGCAUCACAGCCACAGGUCAGCUUGGCCACAGUCAGAUUUUGAAGCAGCAUUCAGGAUGCAAAAAGCCACUAUGAAAGGUGUUCUAUAUUCAUAGUUGAGACUCAUGCGUGUAACCCACACACGGUCAUAACUUUGAUAGUCAGUGCAAGUGAGAAUGCGGUCGUAGAAUGAUUGGAAUUUGAAGUAUUGUUCAAGAUGCAAAAAGCCACUAUGAAAGAUUAGAAUGAAAAGAAAUUUUCACUGAUGUACAGAUGAUCUACUAACAUUGUCAAACUUUUCUGGGGAAGUGACUCUAAAGCUGGGAACUCACUUCAUCGUACGACCGUCGGCCGAUGAAUCCAACUCUUUCUGAUGACGUGUGGCAUUCUAGAUAGAAUCGUGUUGGCUGACGAAACUCAGGCGCAAUGAAUGACCAGGACAUGCGUUAUUAACAUACCUGACAAGACCACCAAGGGAGGUCAUGUGUUA